rnacentral:rRNA from 1 species
AGAAUCAACGCUGGCGGCGUGCCUAACACAUGCAAGUCGAACGAGAAAGUGGAGCAAUCCAUGAGUAAAGUGGCGCACGGGUGAGUAACACGUGACUAACCUACCCUUGAGUGGGGGAUAACCUAGAGAAAUCUGGGCUAAUACCGCAUAAUACCUUCGGGUCAAAGGAGCAAUUCGCUUAAGGAGGGGUCGCAGCCGAUUAGUUAGUUGGCGGGGUAAUGGCCCACCAAGACUAUGAUCGGUAUCCGGCCUGAGAGGGCGCACGGACACACUGGAACUGAAACACGGUCCAGACUCCUACGGGAGGCAGCAGUGGGAAUCUUGCGCAAUGGGCGAAAGCCUGACGCAGCGACGCCGCGUGAGGGAAGAAGGCCUUCGGGUUGUAAACCUCUUUCAGGAGGGACGAAGCCACUCGGGUUAAUAGCCCAGAGGGUGACGGUACCUCCAGAAGAAGCCCCGGCUAACUACGCGCCAGCAGCCGC